GGCCAUGUGAGGACACAGCAAGAAGGCGGCCAUCUGCAAGCCAAGAAGAGAGUCCUCACCAGGAACCAACUCUGCUGACACCUUGCUGUUGGACUUCCAGCCUCUAUAAAUGUUCACAAGCACACCACUGUUUACACCCAUCUAGAAGGCCCCUCCCAGCUGACAUCUUUCUGCCUACCUUUCAGGAAGACAGACGAAACUCUCUGCCUUCAGGUGGGGCAAGGUAGGUGGCCAGUCUGAUGAGAGAGGCGGAUGACAAACAUCAUGACAGAGGGUGAUGAAGAA
rnacentral:lncRNA from 10 species